UAAUACGGAGGGUGCAAGCGUUAUCCGGAUUCAUUGGGUUUAAAGGGUACGUAGGCGGAUAGAUAAGUUAGUGGUGAAAUCCCGAAGCUCAACUUCGGAACUGCCAUUAAAACUGUUUAUCUUGAAUUUGGUUGAAGUGGGCGGAAUAUGACAUGUAGCGGUGAAAUGCAUAGAUAUGUCAUGGAACACCAAUAGUGAAGACAGCUCACUAAGCCAAUAUUGACGCUGAGGUACGAAAGCAUGGGUAGCGAACAGGAUUAGAUACCCUGGUAGUCCAUGCCGUAAACGAUGAUUACUAGCUAUUAGCGAUACAAUGUUAGUGGCAAAGCGAAAGCAUUAAGUAAUCCACCUGGGAAGUACGGUCGCAAGAUUG
rnacentral:rRNA from 1 species